rnacentral:tRNA from 1 species
GGGCGGAUAGCUCAGUGGGAGAGCAUCGGCCUUACAAGCCGGGGGUCACAGGUUCAAGUCCUGUUCCGCCUACCA